UUGUUAUCAUUAGCAUCAUGUUUAUUUUCCUUCUUAAUUGAAUAGUUACCAAUCAACCUUCAGAGCUUUUGUUAACUACACGAACAGUAAACUCUUGAAAAUUUAUUUAAAUCAAGACCAACAAAUAGACAAUUGUGGCCACAAAAUAAAGAAGGCGAAAGCUUGUUUAAAGAUUGGAUUAAUCGUGUUAAUGUAACGUUAGAUCCAUGGGAUAGAAUCGAUUCUCCACAAUUCAUAGACUUUUUUAAUAUACCUGAACUCUCUGAUAGAUUUUUUGAAACGAAAGAAGAAGAAAAACCAUUGCAGCACAGUGCAAAUGCGCAGAGACUUCCUCGAACGAGUGAUUAUAACGAUCAAAAUGAAUUAAUUAACUUACUAGACAAUUUUUCUUUGACGAAAGAAAA